GUCAGUGUGGUGUAGUGGUUUAAAUGUUGGACUACGACUCUGGAGACCAGGAUUUGAAUCCCUGCUUGGCCA